rnacentral:lncRNA from 1 species
CUUUAGUCUCCUGAGCAGGAGGCAGGAACAUCAUUCAGAGCUGAUGACAGUGUCCUUCCAAACAGGAAUCACUGGGGAUCCAGUCUGCUUAGGGAGACCCUCCCCAGCCCUGGCUCCCCAUUCCUGCUAGCACUACCCCUUGUUGGGUACAUAUUCCCAGAAGGGGCUGGCACCAUUGAAGGCCUGCGCCUUUCUGUGACCCUUUGCCAGUCUGAGAAGCUUUGGUGUAUCAAUGUUAUUCAUUUAGUAAAUGUUUGGUGUCUCUGGUGCCAGUCCCACUAAAGGACAGAGUCCUUGCACUGCCCUGUGCAGGUGAUCUGUGCUGAGACAGAAGUUGUGAAAUGGGCUACAUUCGCUGCUGCUGAAGCUACCAGCACUCCCGGGAUCCCAGGCCAGCACUUGCUGGUCCAAUCCAGGAGUCACUUUGGAGGUUCCCAAGAUGAGGGGGUGAAGGGUAGUGAGAGAAAUGCCAAUGAUAGGCACUAUCUUCACUCCCUGGUCACCCAACACCUCUAACAGCAGCCAACCUGUCUCAAUCUGUGAUGAGCCCAUUUGACUCUUGAUCUGUCCAGAAAGACUUCCUGUUCAGAACACACCCAUGGAUGGGUAGCCGAAACCCGCUUGGCUCAUCUGCACACUCAGAUUGCUUGGUCUCUAUUUCUGUUCUCAAGUUUCUCCAUGGUUUUGGCCCUUCUGCCUCCUCUAGCAUAUUGAGAGACCCUUGUGAUUACUGUGCCCUCUGGAUAUCCCAGGCUACCCUUGAGUUCAAGUCCCCUAAUCACAUUUGCCAUGUUAGACACCACGCACAGGUUCCUGGACUUAGUAAGUGCACACACAUCUUUUCCAUUUUGCUUCCCAUACAGUGACUGGGAUCAUAAGGAAGCUGUGGCAUGCUCUGUCAUUAUCUUUCCUUAGCAGAUAAGAGACCCAGGGACGGAGAGGUUAUGUAACCUGUCCGGGUCACCUGGAGAAUAAGUUGCAGAUCCCAGAACCAAGGUUCUCUCUGGUUGCAAAGCCUCCUGGGAUGGGAGCAGCCUGGAAUCCCAGCCACUCCCUGAACUGGUAGACAGAUUCCAAGCUGGUUUCUAGGGAGUUGGGGAGUUUCCUAGGGAGAUGGGCAGAGUACAUUCCUGCCCUGGGUCCCAAAUGCAGAGACCUGGGCGCAAGGUCCAUCCUUGCCUCUAAGGCUGAGAGAUAAAGGACACAGCAAAUUCCUUCCACUCUCAACAGGCCCUUAUCUAGAAGGAAGUUCAUGGUAGAACCUCAAAUAGAUGGUCUCAAAAGUUCCUCUUAGCUUGAAAACUCACUUUCCAUAAUGGGAUUUUAGAGAUGAUCUGUGGUUUUUGUUUGUUUGUUUGUUUUGUUUUGUUUUGUUUUGUUUUUAGAUAUUCUCAUAUAGCCCAGGCUGACUUCAAACUUGCUAUAUGGGCAAGGCUGUGGUUUUGAACUCUCAACCCUCUGACCUUCCAAGUGCAAAAACUGGCCACCGUACUCAGCCCACUCUACACAGCUACCCAGCUCUCCCAUCCUGGCAAGUGAGCCUAGGCCCUCACCACUCUGGGAAGACAUAUCGUCACUGAACUACAUGACCCCUUUUAGUGGUCAUGGUAUAUGGUGAGGUUUUCUCUGGAAGGGAGGCUGAAUAACAGCAUCUACACAUAACAAAAACAUUGGCAACUGGGGCUGGAGAGAUGGCUCAGCGGUUUAAGACCACUAGCUGCUCUUCCAGAGGUCCUGAGUUCAAUUCCCAGAAACCAUAUGGUGGCUCACAACCAUCUGUAAAGGAAUCUGAUUCCAUCUUCUGGUGUGUCUGAAGACAGAGCGCUCAUGUACCUAAGAUAAGGAAGAAAGGAAGGGAGGGAAGGAGGGAGGGAGACAAGGAAGGAGCUAACAACUCCAUGUUGGCCUCUGUCAUUUCUUCUGAAGCAUCAGAGGGGUCUUCAUCCUCAGCUUGGGGAUAUGAGCCUGUCUGCAUCUCACUCAGGCUGACACCUCAGUUGUUUUUGGAUUUAGGGUUGGGAGGCUGGCUAAACAUGUGGCAUCUGGAAAGACAAAUCCCCAAACCUGGGGGACCAGGGUGAGGUGAAAGGGGGAACCCCUUGGAAAGCAAAAAAAAAACUUUGGGGU